rnacentral:rRNA from 1 species
UGAGGAAUAUUGGACAAUGGGCGCAAGCCUGAUCCAGCCAUGCCGCGUGCAGGAAGAAGCAUCUAUGGUGUGCAAACUGCUUUUGUACGGGAAGAAACACUCCUUCGUGAAGGAGCUUGACGGUACCGUAAGAAUAAGGAUCGGCUAACUCCGUGCCAGCAGCCGCGGUAAUACGGAGGAUCCAAGCGUUAUCCGGAAUCAUUGGGUUUAAAGGGUCCGUAGGCGGUUUAGUAAGUCAGUGGUGGAAGCCCAUCGCUCAACGAUGGAACGGCCAUUGAUACUGCUAGACUUGAAUUAUUAGGAAGUAACUAGAAUAUGUAGUGUAGCGGUGAAAUGCUUAGAUAUUACAUGGAAUACCAAUUGCGAAGGCAGGAUACUACUAAUGGAUUGACGCUCAUGCACGAAAGCGUGGGGAGCAAACA